rnacentral:rRNA from 1 species
GGGCAUGCGUCUGAUUAGUUAGUUGGUAGUGUAAUGGACUACCAAGGCGAUGAUCAGUAGGGGAACUGAGAGGUUGAUCCCCCACACUGGCACUGAGAUACGGGCCAGACUCCUACGGGAGGCAGCAGUAGGGAAUAUUGGUCAAUGGAUGCAAGUCUGAACCAGCCAUGCCGCGUGCAGGAAGAAGGCCUUCUGGGUUGUAAACUGCUUUUGCCAGGGGAUAAAAUUCUCUUGCGAGGGAAAUUGAAGGUACCUGGUGAAUAAGCCACGGCUAACUACGUGCCAGCAGCCGCGGUAAUACGUAGGUGGCAAGCGUUGUCCGGGUUUAUUGGGUUUAAAGGGUGCGUAGGCGGCCCUGUAAGUCAGUGCUGAAAUAUCCCGGCUUAACCGGGGGGGUGGCAUUGAUACUGCAGGGCUUGAGUGAACUCGAAGUAGGCGGAAUUGACGGUGUAGCGGUGAAAUGCUUAGAUAUCGUCAAGAACACCGAUAGUGAAGACAGCUUACUAGGUUUCAACUGACGCUGAGGCACGAAAGUGUGGGGAUCAAACAGGAUUAGAUACCCUGGUAGUCCACACUGUAAACGUUGAUUACUCGCUGUUGGCGAUACACAGCCAGCGGCCAAGCGCAAGCGAUAAGUAAUCCACCUGGGGAGUACGCCGGCAACGGUGAAACUCAAAGGAAUUGACGG